rnacentral:lncRNA from 1 species
CCUUGAUAUCCUCUACCACCUUGAACAAGUUGUGGUACUUGAACAUGCACAACCUUCAAGAAAUAGAAGCAAUGGUGUUAUUUCAAAUGACAUCAUGACUGCCUUAGAUUAAAACUUGAAGGAGGUGACAUUCCCCAGAAAAGUUGUUCACCAUACCAUCCCAUGUUGGGUUGCCCCCCAGUCCAGAUCAACAGUUUGUUGAGGAAAAGCUUGGAAUUCAGUUGAUGCCUAUUCUUGCUGUGAAGAGGAGCAAUCUGAACUACUCAUUGCCAGAUGCAAAAGAAGGAGAAACCCAUG